rnacentral:rRNA from 1 species
GAUCUCUGGCUUGAAACAUUUGGCCGGCCACGGUUUCGUGUGUUAGUGCUUUGUGUUCUGGCCAUCCUUCCAAUCGCAAUUGGCUAUUCUUCAUUGAUUGGUCAGUUGUAUUGGAUCUUUUACUUUGAAAAAAUUAGAGUGUUUCAAGCAGGCUUUAUGCUGUGAAUACAUUAGCAUGGAAUAAUAAUUUAGGACUUCGGUUCUAUUUUGUUGGUUUCUAGGACUGAAGUAAUGAUUGAUAGGGACAGUUGGGGGUGCUAGUAUUCCGCGGCCAGAGGUGAAAUUCUCGGAUUCGCUGAAGACUAACUUAUGCGAAAGCAUU